CCAAGGUCCACUGGCUGGGGAGGAUCUGAAUAGGCCUAGGCUUCAGAGCGCUCCCUGGGCUGAGCUUGGACCUCGGGUCCAGAGAGACCAUCUCCAGAGAGGAAGGUUGGCUUCAGGGCUGCCCAGCUGGUGCAGAUGGGGUCUGGGCCUCUCCAAGAGUGACUCCCACCUGCAGCUCUCUGACCAGACCAGAAACCCGCAGGAAGAGCUGGCGUGAGCCCAGGGCCCCAUGCAGGUCUCCUCCCAUCCUUCCUACCAGGCCAGCAUUUCUACUCUGUGCAGCUACCAGCGAGGAGGGCCUGUGGGCUCAAAGACCCAACAGGAAUUCCUGCAGAAGCCCCAUAGCUUGAAGAGGGACCGUGGGAUGAAUGAGCCUGCAUGCAGCCUGGAAUGCAAAGAUCAGCCCUCCUCAGUGACCCCGGGAGCCCAGGAAGAUCAAGGAUCGAGACUGUCGCCCUGGACCUGCCUGCUGUGUAGCUCUGGGUGCAAGUCAAAGAUCAAGCUGAAGUAAAGUUCACCUGCAUCUCGUUAUUGGGCCAUGAGAAAUAGCAGCCCGACCCUCAGUUUGAUCCAGGAACAAUCUCACCAGGGCUUGCCAUCAGCCCAGGACAAUUGACAAGGUAAGUACUUUAUCUCCAUUUUACAGCCGAGGAAGGUUUGAAGAGGUUAGGAGGCUUGGAGACCACAGCUCCAGUGGUGGGAUAGAGGGUAGUGGGCUACAGUUGAGAAACGGGGACCGUCGUUGCUCCUCAACCCACUUUUCUCAAGACCUUCAUAGGUCUUUUUCAGCUCCCUGCACACCCAGAACAGGAGCAUUUAAGAGAAGUGUUGCUUUUCAUUUGUUCUUAAGACACUGCUCUCGGGCACCAGAUACACCAACCGAGCGAUUCUCAGAACCCCUAGCAUGGGCCACAAACCAAACACGCAGAGCCGCAGCGAGGACAGAGGGUGCCGCGUGGCCCUUCCUGACAUUCUUUCAUCUGCACACUGUACCGUCAACUCAUUUUCUGCACGGAAUGAAGAUACAUCACUCUGCUCUGGAAAACUACAUUUAGCAUCUCCUUCUUUUUGUGGGGCAGGGAAGUUUUCAUCGACAAAGCGUUUGUAUUGCAGAUGGCUCACCAUAUGCCACGUUCCUGCACGUUAUCACCUUGUAAGCAGAUUCUGUCAGGUUUUAGGAGUAAAAGCUUAAUUAACAAGUGGUGUGUACAAUUAUGUACUUAAUUAUCUACUGCUUUUAUUUCUUUGUUGUUUCUUGUUUUCCAAAAGUUUGGUAACAAUUACAGGCAACUGUUGCCUAAUGCAAUUUCUCUCUGCACCUCUUUUUUUGUGUGUGUGUGUGUGUGUGUUUUUUUUUUUUUUUUUGCCAUUUGUAUGCUGAGAGGGGGCUUUCUCUUUUCUCCCCCCAUCCACCAAUUAGAACAGAUAGACGCAACAUGGGCCACUGAUCUAAAUCUCUGAGGGGUGGCCCACGUGUGUAUGUGUGGGCAUGUGAGUGUGUGUGUGUGUGUGUGUGUGUGUGUGUGUGUGUAUUUUAUUUUAAAAGAGUUUCCUGUGAGGUUGAUCUGCAGUCCUGGUUAGAAACACAGACCUGAGUCUCCACGUUGCUGACUGGGCUUUCAGGGGAUCUCAUUCUUUCUCCAUCUCCCUUUGCUGGCCCACCCUGGAGGCCAGUGGGGUUGGCUGGUCUAGGCUGGUGAGGAGGACAGGAGGUGCUGGGGGGACAAGGGACAGCCCUGCAGCACGGUGAGGGCAGAGGCAGCUUUGGGGAGCUGAGCACAGAAAGCAGGAAGAAUUGUAAUGGAAGCACAAGCAGCAGCAAGUUGGAGGGAACUUGCUGGGCUGAAGCCAAACCCGGAAUGUGGGACUUAAAAUAAAGUGAGUGGAUUCGCUUGAAAGCACUUCUGCUCACAUCCCUCUGAGCUAAGGAACUUCUAGAAGCCUAUGCCUCCAGCACAGCUGUCUUUCAUACAAAUCCAUGCAAGAGGGUGUCCUGUUUUAGGGAACCUCCCACAAGAGUUGAAAACUCAGUUAUCAGCAUGUGGUGACAGAAAUGGCCCCACAGCUGACAGCGGAGGAGGCUGAACCGUCAGGUAGACAGCCCAUCUGGCUUCCCAGAGGGCCGAGGGCUGGCCCUGGGUUUCUCAGCUGGCAGGUGGGGUUCCCUGGGCCCUAGUUCUGAAGCACCCUCCCCACCACACCCACCAGUGUCAGCCAAGGCUGGGUGCCAUCCAAGAGGGCUAGGGAGAGUGGGUUGGAGGAAGAUGCAAGGGCAGAAGAAUUGCAGAAUCAAGAGAUCAGGGCUUCUCUUUCUCCAACUAGAGGAAGAAGCCUGAGGGACACUUCCCUGAAAUGAAAACAGACAGAGGCCGGCCCCAGCAUCACAGACAUGAAGCCCCUGUUGCCUGCACGCUCACCGAGCUCUGUCACACCUCCUCUCUGUGCAUCUGUCUCCUUAUCUGGCAGCGGCUGGGUGAGGUCAUCCAGCUCUGCCAGGCCUACCAUCUCCUAUUUCUUAGAGAAGAGUCCACUAGACUCCAAAGGGCUGUGCUCUGGGGAAAGCACAGCGGAGGACACUGUUGGGCCUGUCCUUGCCUCUGUGGUUUACCCAGGGCCUAGAACAGUGCUUGCCAUGUGAUGAGGGAGCUCAACAGGUGUCUGUCAAGUUAAUGAAAAUGUAAUAGACAUGCCAUUUGCUGAUUUGCCAGGCACAUGGCUCCUUCUAAAGAUAGCUGCUCUGUCCCACCGGGAGACCCCCAGGUCUCUGUCUGUGCCUGGUCCCAGCUGACCUAAGGGCAGCCCAUCAAGGCACGUCAACCUGAGAUGUGGUCUGGGAUGAAGAAACGACACAGGGCAAAUGGGUUCUGCUUCUCAGAAGGUUGAUCUGGGAAGUACUCAGAGCAUGAGUGAUUAGCAUUGGGCAUUGAAGCUAAAAAGAUCACUGGAAAGAAAAGGAAGAGGUGAGUAAUAAAUGGCUGAGGCAGCAGCUGCAGUCCUGAGUGGAGAGAGAAUCUGGUGCGCCAGGAGGGGAGGCCCUCUGCUCCAACGUCCGCCUGCCCUCAGCAUCCUGCAUUGCUUCCCCUGGCAGACCCUUCCCUAUGCAGAAAUCUUUCCCUGCAAUCUCAGAUACCUUCAGGGCAAGCCCUGGGAAAACAAGCUUGAAAUGAUAGAGGCAGGAGGUGGAUGCAUCUUCCCACACCUGGGGUCCAGAAAGCAGCAUCUGACCAACUUCAGAAACCAAACAAGAAUUUGGGGACAUGUGAGGGGAUCAUUUAUCCAAGCUGGGAUUUAGGGAAAAGCUCCAAACGUUACUUGAAGGGCCCCAGUAGAAGAAUGGAAAGUUAAUUGCCAGGACAACUUCCCCACUGCAGGGUAGGGUUGGGAUGGGUGAGAAAGUAGGGGAGAAAGUGGUGACAGGUAGGAGUAGAGACUCAGAAAGCCUGAGGAAUGAAUGGGCACUCUUGUUCCCAUGCACAGGAUGAAAUGGCAUCUUGGCGCUUUUGCUGAACAAGGCAACACUGGGUCUGUCUGACCUGAGGACACUCCAUCCCAGCAGGACCCUAAUGGAGCAACCCACCUGGUCUUUCACCUGUCAGAGGAAAGCACCUCUUCAAGCACAUGGCCAGGGAGGCUGAUGGGGCUGGAAAGCAGGAACCAUACACCACCUGGGUCUGUGCCUGGGAAGGUGAGCUC
rnacentral:lncRNA from 1 species